AGAGUUUGAUCAUGGCUCAGAGUGAACGCUGGCGGCGUGCUUAACACAUGCAAGUCGAACGCGAAAGUCCCGCAAGGGAUGAGUAGAGUGGCAGACGGGUGAGUAAUGCAUAGGUAAUCUACCCUUGAGUGGGGGAUAACUCCGGGAAACCGGUGCUAAUCCCGCAUAACGUCCUGAUGCAUAAGUAUCUGGACCAAAGGGGGGGAUCCUUCGGGACCUCUUGCUUGAGGAUGAGCCUAUGUCCUAUUAGCUAGUUGGUGAGGUAAUGGCCCACCAAGGCAAUGAUGGGUAGCCGAGCUGAGAGGCUGAUCGGCCACACUGGAACUGAAACACGGUCCAGACUCCUACGGGAGGCAGCAGUGGGGAAUUUUGCGCAAUGGGCGAAAGCCUGACGCAGCGACGCCGCGUGAGGGAUGAAGGUUCUCGGAUCGUAAACCUCUGUCAGGAAGGAUUAAAUGUAUGGAUACGAAUAUUAUCCAUACUUGACUUAACUUCCAAAGGAAGCCCCGGCUAACUACGUGCCAGCAGCCGCGGUAAUACGUA
rnacentral:rRNA from 1 species